GGAUCCAUGGCGUAAUGGUAGCGCGUCUGACUCCAUAUCAGAAGGUUGUGUUGCGUGAUUGAUUCACAUUCCCGGAUCCA
rnacentral:tRNA from 1 species